AAAUAAAAUAUGGAUAAACAGUAUUAUUUUAUUUUACAAAAUUUGUUCUGGAUAUCAUCUUAUGAUCAUAAACAAGCUUCUUUUUAAGUUUGGUAGAAAUAGUUUAAAAAAGUUAUUAAAACUUCCAAAACUUUAACCAAAGAGUGAAUAUUUGUGGACAUCGCUGACGCCGGCAAUAAAUGUAGGAUCGCUAUGUCUGGCUUUUUUGGCAAAAGUCAAAGGCUUGACAAAAAUGUGUGAAAAAAUUUCCAAAAUCCUUUAUCAUGACAUAUUGUGGACAGGGUAUGAAUUGGCUUUUGGUGCAUUUGUUUAUUGUUUUGUAUACAUACUUACGCUUAAUUUCAUUGUUUAUAUUUGACAAUGAAACUCAGUGCAGCUUUGUGCAAUAUUCUUUUCCUGCUUUUUCAAUGUGAUCUAUUUUUUCUGAAUCAUGCAGUUACACUUUUUCUAGUAUUUGCAUUGGCUAGACACAUCAGUAGAUUGAUUUGCUGUGCCUAAUUUGCUGAAUUUCAGUAAUAUUUACGUUUUACCAUUCAUCUUCUUACAUUGUAACAUGCAGUUAAUUUCUUGUGUAAAAUUAAUCAUAAUUUCUUUUGAAUAGCUUUCUAUUUUUAUAGAGUAGGGACCUGUGUUGUCAAAUUUGUAUACUCCACUUCCAAGCCCACUAGAAGAACAACUCUAUGUUAUAGUUACUCCUUUUAGAUGUGUAUUAUAUAUUUCUGAUACCUAGGCAUAUUAAAAUCUUUACAUACAGAUAUUCUUAUCUAUUGGUAGUUCCAGCUCAAUGAGGGCCUCAGUGGCUGAGUGGUUUAAGUAGUUACUACUGUUAUCACUAGUCAGUCAUCCCUGAGGUUGUGAGUUCAAACCCUGCCCAUGCAGGUGCACUUGACUCCAAUCUUAAUUGACUAGGAUUGUCAAUUUUCAUAUUUGAGGUCAGUGGUUUUCUCAAGGCACUCCAACUUCCUCCGCCAAUAAAAACUGGCCGCCAAUAAAUAGCCCAAAUGCAGUACUUAAAAGUGUCGUUAAAACACAAAAAAUAAAAAAUAGAUGAUAAAAUUAAUUAAAUCCUUAUAUACAGAUAUGCAUAUCUAUUGGUAGUUCUAGUUCAAAGGGUAACACAAGAGGUGUUUUGUGAGUACUGUGUACUGCUUUGGAAAUAGACAACUUUCGAGUUUGUUGCAUUUCCGUCAAAAACUUGGAACAUCAAUCUUACGUUUAGGGGCUUUUUCAAUUGUGAAACCUUAUUUAAGAGAGUGAUUGAAAAAAAUAAAAUGCUUAAUUGGACAAAUCAUUUGACAAAUUAAAUUUAUGUAUUUGAUAUUCAGCUCUGCUUUCAUUAGGAAUUGUGAUUAAGUACUUAUGGAACAAAUAAGAUUUCAAGUUUAUCGUUUAUGACGAUCACAAAGAUGCAUGAUGAACUUUAAUAUAGCAGGGAUACAGGCGACACCUUCUAUCUGAAAAAUGAUGUCACAAAGGCACACAAAAUUGACUAUCUUUAAGGGUGAAGGACAGUGGUCUAUUGUCUUACUUAGUUAAAUCUAAAUAGAGGGAUGUCAUAUAGAUGUUUUUUUUAGAUAUUUUAUUUGUUGUUAAUAUAUUAUCACAUGUUAUAUUCUGUGUUCCUUAUGUUUGCUUCUCUGAAUUAGAUUUUUUUACAAAUAGUCAGAUUUAGAGAAUUAAUUAUUGAUAUACUUGUAUUGUACAUGUAUAAUUUUUAUAAUAAACCUUGUUAAACUUAA
rnacentral:lncRNA from 1 species